GAUGAACGCUGGCGGCGUGCCUAAUACAUGCAAGUCGAGCGAACAGACGAGGAGCUUGCUCCUCUGACGUUAGCGGCGGACGGGUGAGUAACACGUGGAUAACCUACCUAUAAGACUGGGAUAACUUCGGGAAACCGGAGCUAAUACCGGAUAAUAUAUUGAACCGCAUGGUUCAAUAGUGAAAGACGGUUUUGCUGUCACUUAUAGAUGGAUCCGCGCCGCAUUAGCUAGUUGGUAAGGUAACGGCUUACCAAGGCGACGAUGCGUAGCCGACCUGAGAGGGUGAUCGGCCACACUGGAACUGAGACACGGUCCAGACUCCUACGGGAGGCAGCAGUAGGGAAUCUUCCGCAAUGGGCGAAAGCCUGACGGAGCAACGCCGCGUGAGUGAUGAAGGUCUUCGGAUCGUAAAACUCUGUUAUUAGGGAAGAACAAAUGUGUAAGUAACUAUGCACGUCUUGACGGUACCUAAUCAGAAAGCCACGGCUAACUACGC
rnacentral:rRNA from 1 species